rnacentral:lncRNA from 1 species
CCUCUCUUGUCAAGGCACAGCAGGGGCUGUUGCUUGCCUGGGAACCCUGCCAAAGCUGUAACAGCACUCAAUUCACCUAGCAGGGGCCACCUGCUUCAGGGGCAUUGUGGACCAGUCCUCUGGACACUAGUUUUUGGAAGAAGGGACUUGACAGCCCCGGUGAGUGGUGAGAUUGAGUGGCACCAGGUGGACUGCUUGCCUGAGGCCGCUCACCCCAUGCAACUGCAAUUCCCAAGCCUUUUCCCUGGAUGUCAGCCUCUAUCCACAGCGAGGUGUCUCUUGAAAAUGGCUAUAAAACUUCUUGUCAAAUUGGAGUACUUUGGAAUAUUUAGGAAAAGUUGGCAGAGAGGAGACAGGACUAAAGUGCAGCUCCCACUUGGAUGAACUGAACAGUGUGUGGAGACUCACAUUGUGAAUUUUUGCUCCAAGAACUACCUCAGGAACAUACCAGAAAAACCAAAAGAAUUCACAGACCCUUUGAAAAAAGUGGCUUGCCAGUGCAAACUCCAUGAGACAGCUGAAAAACUGUGCUCUCUGUACACAGAGGGUUUUGUCUGUUUGGUCACCGAUAUAUCUUCAGUGCCCAGAACAGUGCAUGGCAAUGGCAGACUCUCAACUGAUGGUUUAAAGAGGUUGUCUUUUCCAAGGCCCAUCACCUGCUUCACAGAAUUUUCAGCUCUUUUGACAAUUUCCAAGACAAGGGAUGAGUUCCAGCCACCAUGUCAUGAGGAGACCCUGGAUACCCCAGCUCAGAGCCUAGAGUGAGUAUUUGCAUUGAAGAGGAAACGUCGUAUAUUUGAAAUGUAAGUUUCAUGAAUAAGAUCUGGGCCCAAAUUGGCUUUAGUCAUUCAAAGACCCAGUCAAACUCAGGAAGUUAAAAAAGUUGAGGUGGCUGGUUUCACCUGGCUCCAGUGUCCAUUCUUCUCACUUUCUCUGCAUGUGUUUGUUACCCUUUCUUCAUCAUCGAUGGAGCUCAAACUCAGUCUCACAUGGGAGCAGCAGCACCAAGAUAAAAUUUGUGUAUCCUACAGGAAUAACACAGCAGGCAAGCCUGCAGGAUAGAGCCAGGUGAGGCAAGUGGUGGUGGAGCUCAGAGUGUCACGUAAUUAAGUGUUGUUGCAAGGACUGGAGGGGAAGAUGGGGUAAUAGAUGUCUGCCUGGAGUGAAGACAUGGCAGGGCCAAGCCUGCCUGCGAUGUGUCCCAAACCUCCAAUGAUCCCCAACCCUGUGCAAUAAAAGCCGGGUAGACCAGGCAACUGACGAAACCCCAGCUCCUGAUGAAAGAGGGAAUUGUUUUCUUCUGCCUUCCUGCUGAGUUGUAGGAUUCGGAACCUUUGUCUUAUCCAGCUUAAAUCCCUGUCACUCCUUAGCAGGGACUCAGGAGGAGGAGUUAUGAGGAAUGUGGUAAAUGAUGAUGCGUAUUCCCUUGUGGGGAAAAGCAGCAAAUGCCACAGUGUCCCUGCCAUGCUCAUGCUCUCCUUAGUUAUGGAAUUGCUGAUUCCUGGGAGUUGAAAGGAUCACCUAGGUUAUUCCCUCUCACUCAGUUGAUGUUGGAAUCCCAGCUACAAGGUGCCUCACAAGAGCCCCUCCCAUCCCAUCCCUCUUUGGAUGUUUCCACUGAUGGCGAGUCUCCAAUCCCUGGAGGCAGCCCAGCCUAAUAAUAAGCCUGCAUCUAUUUAUUUAUUUUUUUGGGUUAUUAGAAAUGUGUGGUAAUGUGGUCUAAAUGAAUAUUGAAUUGAUAGCCAUCUCUUGAAAAAUAGCAGAAUGUCAUGUCCCCAUUAUUUCCUAGGAAUUCUCAGGGAAAAUGUGUGUAUUCUCCACAUUCGUGAAGGUGGCCACUUGUAAUAACCACCUCCAGCUGCCAAGGCUUGAAACAGUAGCUGCUAUAGAGGUCGCAGGACACUUUGCAUUCCCCAACCCUAAGCAACAGCAGGCUGCCGGCUCCCACACUCUCUCCCUCUCCCUUGAUUCAUGAUGAGUUGAGUUAAAAGAGCACCAUCUUCUUCAUGGCACCUAGCAGGGCUGUGGAUGGUCUUAACAUUGACAGGCUGCAACCCAUCCUAGGGAUCCCUGCUUUGCUCCCCUCAUGGGGAUGGAAAGAAUCAACUUUAUCCCUUCAGAGGGAACUAAGGUCUCCUUAUCCAACAAGCCCCCUUCAUGCCAUGGAAGGAGGCUCAGAAUAAUGAAGUUGCACACACGCGCGCACACACACACACACCCCAUUUCAAUAUGAAGCAUUUGGAUUAAUGCACUGCCUUUGGUCAGUUUCCUGAGAAGCCCUCGAGAUGAUAAUUCAAGUGCAAGUGAUUUAUUAGGGGAGAGUUCCCAGGACGGCCUAGCAGAGGAGCUCAGGAAGCAGGAAAGGAAAGGGGAAGACAUCAAGCAAGGUACAAUCUCAGUCAGUCAGUGUGCAGCCUCAGUCUGAUCCCACAGGGAGUCUAUAGAGAGGAAAUUACACCUUAGAGUUCAUUCAGACUCGAGGCAAGGUGGCUAAGGGUUCAUAUUCUUUAUUACAGUCCAUCACUGGCAUGGGCCACUCCAGCAGGUUGCAAACUCGGGUGCUUCCAGCUCUCUGAGCUCCUGGGCAAAGUGGCUCUAGUAGUCCAAGGGCACUGCCUGUUAGAUACAAAGGCACCCAGAAGCCAGGGAAGGGAUACACAGAAAUGUAAAAGGGAUCUGAGAGGAUCUGGCCAGAGCAUCAACAUGUCCACUCAUUCACUUGUGUCAUCCCCAAACAAUGGGUUUUAUUGGCCCAGACGUGAUGUACUUCUAACAUAACUUACUUGGUAUCUGUAUAGUAAGAAACAGUCAACAAUCUUUUAAUAAACUCUGGGGUAGGGUGGGACUGGGAAGGUUCUGCCUCAUGCCACACCCCAGUGCAUAAUCCAGUCUAAGUCCUCCAGUCUAAGUCCACACUGGCUGUUUGGUAUACAUUCACAUUUCGAUGGACACUGUUCAAGUAAAUUCUUGAAGCCACUUUAUAGUGGCUGCUGCAAAGUCUUGUUUGCUGCGCCUCUGUCGGCAUAUGAGCUUGGUCACAUCCCCUCCACUAGAAUUUUCUAUCCAGCUGCCCAUCAAGACUAGUCAAAUCAAUCACCUCCCAAAAGAUGAUAAAGAUUUUUAUAAGCAAGUCUGGAGCACGUCUCUCCGUUCUGCAGAUGAUGGCAUCUCUUGGAAGGUAGAUAUUAUAUGCAAAAUCACCCACAUAAAACUCCUCUGCAAACACAAAUCCAAACCCAAAUAAAGCUGCUCUUACUUCCCUUUACAGUAAACAAUCCAAAAUCUAUAGGACUAUCAAAUCAGGUCUUUAUCUUUGUGGGUGUGCUUGCAUUUAAUUUUCUACUAAUAACUACAAGACCCCUGGUGCUCCAUCAUUUUAUGCCCAGGAACCUAUAACAUGGCAAGGAAAUCUCAAGACAUUGCCAUUUCAAUUUUAUCCAAGUUUUAAUGGCCCAGCAUUAGGUCCUGUUUAUUUUCUCUCGCUUUUUUUCCUCCCUGGAGUAAACAAAAGCAUAUGUUCCUUUCACCUUCUCCCUGUAACACCUAAAAAGGCAGGCAAGAGAAAACCCCAGGGAACAUCACUCUUAAGUCAAACCAGCCCACACAAGUUGGACUCUCAUGUCUGUUUAAAAGAGUUUAUCCUGUUUCCUCUGACACCCCUUCUAAUCUCUGGCACACAGUGGUAGGCAUUCAGUAAGACUGGGCUCCUGGGUCCUUCCUCUUUCCCCUUCAGUAACUCAGGUUCUACCAAAUUUCCUCUUCCACAUUCUCUAUCAGCCCUCGUCUCUUGCCUUCAGAACUUGUUUCUCUGUUUAUCUAUCUGGUUGUCCACUGCUCCCAUGGAGACAAACGAAUGAAUGAGACUAUAUUUUCGAGCACUUACUAUGUACUGGGAACCUUCUACCUAUCACCUUAUUUUAAUCCUCACACAUUCUCCUGUAAAGUAUCAUUAUUUUCCCAUGAAAGCUAAGGUACAGAGAAGGUCAGUGACUUUUCCUAGAUCAAGUAGCCAGGAGAGAAGUAGGAUGUGACAUGGAAACCAAGUUUGGCUGAAUCUAAGUGUAAUAAUUUCUGACCCCUGCAGUUUCCAUUUUCUAGACUAUGCUUUGGGUCUUCAACUUCCACGCCAACACCAGAGGAUAAGUAUUUGAGACCCCCACAUUGGUCAUCCAACUAUGAAAAAAUUCUCAUUUUAAGCAUAUACAGCUUAAAAAAAGAAUCAACUUCAUGUAUUUGGAAAACCGUAAGUGCCAUCUUCCAUCAUUCAAAAAUGUCUGUAACAGACCAGCAUUAUUGACAGUUCUGAGCUAGACCGAAGGAACUCUUUUCUAUGACUUCAACAGAAAUAUUUUGUUAUUACAAUGUUUGCAAACAUUUUUAAGGUAUUGUUCAGUCAAAUGAUAGUCCCUAUAGCUUGCAACUCAAAAUAUCAUGGUGGUGAAAUACUCAUUAGUCACCUGCUAUAACUUCAAUGGAAUGUGCUAGGACACGGAGUUUGUAAAAGCAGAUAUUGUCUUGUUAAGCUGUCAGGUCCCAUAAUGUACAGCCUCACGCAAGGACACUGUCAUCAGGAAAAAGGCUUAGAUUAUGUGCUCCAAGUACACCAAGAAACUGGUUUCUGGAAACCCGACUUUUCAAUGAACGCUUGUUAAAGCAGAGUUAAUGUGUUUCCUACUGUUAUAACAAUGACGUGUGAGUCACAUAUGUGGUUUCGAGAUUCCUAAACUGGAUCUGCCUGGCUGCUGAUGUAAUCAGAAAUAACCUCUGGCUGUUUGAGACUAUAAUAUUCUGGAGGAAAACUGCCCAGCUGAUGCAACUGCUGAUUUUUGUUAACGCUAUCACCAACAUUCCCAGCAUUCAAAAUUCUUUAAGAUAUUAUUAUUCAUUAAUACUUUGUUUUAGAUAUUAUUAUUCAUUAAUACUUUGUUUUCAUUUGGAAAAUUUAUUUACUAUCAAAGCAAAAUAUUUUUGGGAUUCAGCCUGUAAAUUUAUCUUAAUUCUCACUGUCCUCACUGUCUGAAGGUCCUUUGUUAUUGGGGAAAAGAAUGUGGGGUUAGGUGUCAGGCAGAUUUGCACUUGAAUUUCAGCUCUGUCACUUACCUGUGUGAUUUCAGAGAGGUUACUGAACCUCUCUGAGCCUUGAGUUUCUAAUUUGGAAAAACAGGAAAUUAUUCCUAUCUCACAAUGUUCUGAAAAUAAAGUUAGACAUAGAGCAGCAUUUGGAAAAACAAGAGAGUACAACAUAGACAACCAGGUAUUUGGACCUAGGCUUGCCUCUAGGGAGCCUGGCUUGAUGAAUCUGCUGGGUUUUGAGCCCUGUGGGCCCUCCAGCUGGGCUGUCCUCCCCAAGCCCUAAACAAGGGAUUCAUUCAAACUCCCUAGGUCUUCACAGAAAGCAAGAGAAAAAUGAUGAGAGGAGGUUGUUGAGCCAGUUGCUUGCAAGAGCAGUCUUUCCUAUGGGAUGCCAUCAGUCAGUUGUUAAGUUUACAAAGCAGCAGGAAUAUGUAACUGAGAAUUUUGACUUUCAAAAUUUCUAUGAGCAGCCUCUUGGUAUCAGAACAAGAAGAUGGCAGUUGUGAAAGGAAGAAGAUCAUGAAAAUGCUGCAAUUUCAGAGGGGCAGAGAUCAGGGCAGAAAAAGAAAUCAUAAGCUUCCUGACACCUGAGGCUGAUUCGUUAAGCAGGAAAGAGGAGGAUGCUUACAAGGUGUUUCAACCACCAGGGACCCAAAAGGUGGGAGUGUAAAUUAGUUCAACCAUUGUGGAAGACAGUGUGGUGAUUCCUCAAGGAUCUA